rnacentral:rRNA from 1 species
CCUACGAGAGGCAGCAGUGGGGAAUAUUGCACAAUGGGGGAAACCCUGAUGCAGCGACGCCGCGUGAAGGAAGAAGUAUUUCGGUAUGUAAACUUCUAUCAGCAGGGAAGAACAUGUCGGUACCUGACCAAGAAGCCCCGGCCACCUACGUGCCAGCAGCCGCGGUAAUACGUAGGGGGCAAGCGUUAUCCGGAUUUACCGGGUGGAAAGGGAGCGUAGGCGGUUGAGCAAGUCAGAAGUGAAAGCCCGGGGCUCAACUCCGGGACCGCUUUGGAAACUGUUGAACUGGAUUGCAGGAGAGGUAAGUGGAAUUCCUAGUGUAGCGGUGAAAUGCGUAGAUAUUAGGAGGAACACCAGUGGCGAAGGCGGCUUACUGGACUGUAAAUGACGCUGAGGCUCGAAAGCGUGGGGAGCAAACAGGAUUAGAUACCCCAGUAGUC